AGUGAACGCUGGCGGUAGGCCUAACACAUGCAAGUCGAACGGCAGCACAGUAAGAGCUUGCUCUUACGGGUGGCGAGUGGCGGACGGGUGAGGAAUACAUCGGAAUCUACUUUUUCGUGGGGGAUAACGUAGGGAAACUUACGCUAAUACCGCAUACGGCCUACGGGUGAAAGCAGGGGAUCUUCGGACCUUGCGCGAUUGAAUGAGCCGAUGUCGGAUUAGCUAGUUGGCGGGGCAAAGGCCCACCAAGGCGACGAUCCGUAGCUGGUCUGAGAGGAUGAUCAGCCACACUGGAACUGAGACACGGUCCAGACUCCUACGGGAGGCAGCAGUGGGGAAUAUUGGACAAUGGGCGCAAGCCUGAUCCAGCCAUACCGCGUGGGUGAAGAAGGCCUUCGGGUUGUAAAGCCCUUUUGUUGGGAAAGAAAAGCAGCAGGUUAAUACCCCGCUGUUCUGACGGUACCCAAAGAAUAAGCACCGGCUAACUUCGUG
rnacentral:rRNA from 1 species